rnacentral:tRNA from 1 species
GGAUGGAUGCCUGAGCGGUUGAAAGAGUCGGUCUUGAAAACCGAAGUAUUGAUAGGAAUAACGGGGGUUUGAUUCCCUCUCCAUCUG